UACGAAGGGGGCUAGCGUUGUUCGGAUUUACUGGGCGUAAAGGGCGCGUAGGCGGGUUAUCAAGUUGGAGGUGAAAGCCCAGGGCUCAACCUUGGAAUUGCCUUCAAAACUGAUAGCCUAGAGUAUGAUAGAGGUAAGUGGAACUCCGAGUGUAGAGGUGAAAUUCGUAGAUAUUCGGAAGAACACCAGUGGCGAAGGCGACUUACUGGAUCAUGACUGACGCUGAGGCUCGAAAGCGUGGGGAGCAAACAGG
rnacentral:rRNA from 1 species